GAGGAAGAAGAAGAACAAGGAAGAGGAGGAAGAAGAAGAGGAGGAGGAAGAAAAAGAAGAAGAAGACGACGACAACAGGGAGAACACUGUGACCUGCUGGCCAGCCAGCCUGGCUUAGUUGGGAUCUGCCUGGAGGAGGGCACACCGCAGGAGCUAAGGGAAUGUUCAGACUCUCAAAGACACAGUUGGAUAACCCACGCCCAGAAACUGAGCAAGAAGGGACUGUCCUAGUAAUCCACAUAAUUUUAAAUGAGUUAUAUCGAAUUUAACCCUGUGCAGCAGUUAUUACUGUUCGUGUUUUAUAAAUGAGGAAAUGGAAGUCCCAGGAGGCUAAGUGCUGACCACAGGACUAUGGAGGAGGCUCAAGACUGACGAGGACGAUAACCAGCUGGGUUCUCCACUGCAACCUGACAGUUUUCAGAUGAAGGAAACUUGACACGUGGCGCAGGGGCACCAUGUGAUAGAAUGUGAGCAAUCUGUCUACCCCGUGAUCCUCUCAGGACACAGGGAGUAGAAGCACGAGUCUUGCCUUCUAGCUUCCCUCUGUCUUGUUCUUCUCCUUCUUCACAGCAUGGGUCAGCGGCUAUCCUCAGCCCCAGAUAAAAUGCCAUCUCCAGGAGAAGACCAGCCCAGUUAGGGACAGGACGGUCUGAAGGAGAGCAUGAUUGGGCCAUGUAUGUAGUGUGGACUGAUCAACUUUGGCCAAGGAGCCAGGUGGUGUAAGUCCAGAGGGACUGGGUGGUCAUGUCCUCCCUGGGGACUCAGAAAGGAAUGAGAAAUUCAUGAGAGUGGUGUCCAGAAAAGAAUUUCCUAAGGAAGAUGAAGGCUUUUCUUUUCCUAACCCUUGUCCUUUCUGCAUUAAAUUUGUAAUUGCCAGCA